rnacentral:rRNA from 1 species
UACGUAGGGGGCUAGCGUUGCUCGGAAUCACUGGGCGUAAAGCGCACGUAGGCGGCUUGUUAAGUCAGGGGUGAAAUCCUGGAGCUCAACUCCAGAACUGCCUUUGAUACUGGCGAGCUUGAGUUCGGGAGAGGUGAGUGGAACUGCGAGUGUAGAGGUGAAAUUCGUAGAUAUUCGCAAGAACACCAGUGGCGAAGGCGGCUCACUGGCCCGAUACUGACGCUGAGGUGCGAAAGCGUGGGGAGCAAACAGG